rnacentral:rRNA from 1 species
CCUACGGGAGGCAGCAGUGAGGAAUAUUGGUCAAUGGGCGGGAGCCUGAACCAGCCAAGUCGCGUGAGGGAAGACGGUCCUAUGGAUUGUAAACCUCUUUAGGCGGGGAGCAAUGCCGGGCACGCGUGCCCGGAGGGAGAGUACCCGCAGAAUAAGCAUCGGCUAACUCCGUGCCAGCAGCCGCGGUAAUACGGCGACUGCGAGGGUUAUUGGGAUUUAUUGAGUUUACAGGUGGCGUAGGCGGAUUUUUAAGUCAGCGGUAAAAUGUCCGGGAUCAAACCGGGCCGGCGGUUGAAACUGGGGAUCUUGAGUGGGCGAGAAGUAUGCGGAAUGCGUGGUGUAGCGGUGAAAUGCAUAGAUAUCACGCAGAACUCCGAUUGCGAAGGCAGCAUACCGGCGCCCGACUGACGCUGAGGCACUAAAGCGUGGGGAUCGAACAGGAUUAGAUACCCUUGUAGUC